GUAGAUAUUUUUUUAGGUUUUGGGUUGGUUUAUAUUUCAAUUUUUAAAGCAACAUGUUAGUGUAAAUACAACUUUAUGUAAUAUUUGUUAUCCUUUAAAUUGGACCAAGAUCUUCACAACGUUUUUAGGAGUCCAAAGGCUAUAUACUGUUUGGAAACAGCAUGAUGUUGCGCCUGGGCCAAGACAUUCAUCAGGCUGCCACAGGAAGGAAAAACUUCAUGUAUACAAAGAAGCGGGCCACAAUAAACUGGGUUACUGCAUCUCCGGCAGCGACCUAGCAAAAAAUGCACGGACCAUCGCCAAGAAUAGAUCCACAAUAAUGGGAAAGAAAUUCCUGGUGAUGGUGGAACUAAUGAUCUGCUGAGACGCCCAAAAUGGCACAUGCUGAAGUUUAAGUUCAGGAGGAUAUUAAACCUCCUGCUGGAGUUAAACUGCAGCAUCGUGGUCAUGAAGGUUCCACCCAUCCCAGCAGCGAGGCAUGACCCAGCUGUGGAUGAAAUUAGAGUGAAGUUGAAUGGCUACAUCAGCCAUUUAGGAGAGGUCUUGCACUUGGAAGUGAUUGGCCUUGACCAUUUGUUUGUUGGGGGAGAUGGCCAAGUAAGAUUGUAUUACUAUGAGCAAUAUUAUCCAUGGACCAGGAAACCUGACCUCUUGUACUGGAACGCAAGAGGCAUGUCUGCUGUCUUAGCGCACUUAGCAGAUGUUCUGUGAGGCUGCAUGAUGACCAUAGGUUAGAGAUGUCGAAGAAAACUACUUUUAAGGAGAAUUGGUUCAAGGAGCCACAGUUUCAGCAUAUCAAACCCUCUGCUAAAAACAUAAAUUCUGCAUACUGUACUUUGUGCUACAAAAGUAUUCAACUCAGCAAUAUGGGUUGAAUAGCUCUCACCAGCCAUGUCAAAGGAAAAAAACACAUUCGCAAUCCUGCCAUCAAAAUAACACAAAAAAAAACUUAUUUUACCUCAUGUUGAAAUUUUUAUAUUACAUUUAAUCAUAUGGACGUUAAUAUUUAUGGUAUGUACUUCAAAAGAAAGUCAGGGAAUUUUUCUCUUAAAUUUCUGGAAAACAGGGAAAAGUCAGGGAAUUCUAAGAUUCUAUUUCUGUAGCAACCAUGAUACAAUAUUCAGACUUCGCUAAUGUUCAUUUUUUCAUAUGCCUACAACAAACAAAACAAAAUUACAAUAUGUAUAUUGUGAUUGUUUCAUGUGGAAUUAGAGAGAUAAGGUGAUUGACAACUUUAUAAAAUAAAUAUGGCAAUUUUUACACAACACUACCUACGUAUAAAGGUGUUCAAAAAUUUUCCUUUCACAUACAUUAUGAUUCCUGUGAAAUAUUUCUUGAAAAUUCAUUUACAAUACUAAAUAUUAAGUAUGAAAAAAAAUGUACUUGGUGUUACUAUGACAUUAAUUUAAUGGUGUAAUAUGACUCUCACACUAAUAACUACUGAAAACCCAUUUAACCUUAAGAAGUUACAUUAUUCCAACUUACAAAAAAUUUUCAGAAAUUAACUGUGAUACAAGCAACAUGUGUUCUGUGCAACACACAAAUUUUGAGCAUUGUGAUCAUCAAAAAAGCAGUUUUAAUUCUUGCCAAAAACAUAGAGCAAAUAGUUAAUGUUAUACAAGUUCAAGUAAUUUAAUGGUUUUCAGUGAUAACAGUAAUCUAAAGUAGUAAAAUGAUUCCAUACACAUUUAUUGUAUCAUAAAGACUCCAAACUUACAAACGGUGAUAGGUUUUCGCAAGAGAAUAGAUGCUAGCAUGUUAUUUGUAGCUAGCUGAUGGCAAUACUUAAUUUGCACAAUUGUAAAACCAUGAUACAAUUUGCAGUCAACUGGCGGCAUGUAAUGCAUCAUUGUAAACAAUAGGGAACUUGAAAUUUUAAAGGCUUUUGAAGAAUUAACCAAUUUUGAUUUCUUUUAUUGGAUUGUAAUUACUAUAUCUAGGUAUUUUCCUUCAAUAUCCUAAGAUUGACCCAUUGCAUGUGAUUUCUUUUUAAUCAAAAAUAAGCUCCACUCUGCAUUACACAGCACGAGCAGAGCAUCUACAGAGGGUACAUUCAUCCACCCGUAGCAUCUUAUCUAUAAAUACAACCAUGAUAAUUUUUGCACAUUUUUUUCACUCCAGGUUAGUACCGUUUGGAUAACGUAAAAUGUCAUGGUUUAAUGUAAAAUAAGCAAAUAAUUACCCUCGUACAAAAAAAUACAAUUGUCUCUAUCUUCCUGCUUAGAAAAGUGAUCAUGGUGAAUAAUACUGCAGUUUAUAAUUAUUUUUAAAGCAGUGAUUUUAUGUCAUGGAAUAUUUUUUAAAAAUAUGUUAAAGAACACAUGCUGCAUUGCUUAUCUUACUCAGUAAAAAAGAAUGUCCGGAGUAGCUAAGGUAACCACUUAUAGUGACCCCAAACAUCAGGAUAUUUGAGAGUUUUGUGUAAUUCUACUUUUUUAGUAUAUUUUUUAGUGUAUUUUCUUGAUCAGGAUAAACGAGGUAAGUAAAAUUUAAAAAGCUGUACUAUCAUUACUACACAUUUAUUCUUGCAAGAAGGUUCCUUCCUUUCUGAAUGUAGGCUACUUUCAAAACUUUACAAGUAAAUUUAAGAGGGUUUUAAAGUGAAUGGACAGUGUGAUAUAAAAAAUGAAAGAGAUUUUAGAUUUUUUGCAAUGUACUUUACGUAAUAUAAAUGUUUUAACUCCCUAUUUUACAGAUGACAAAAUAAAAGAGCCCAGUUUUUAUAUUCAGUACCGUUGUGGCAUUAAUGAGCCAAAAAUUUAUUAGUUUUGAGAAACAUCUCUGAUAGAAAAAAGAUAAUUUAUGCAGUAUUUGCAAGGCCGAAAAUAUGGCUCCAAAAAAAGUCUAAUCCCCUGGUAAGUUGUGUCUUUUUUAUUAUUAUUUCCUUGACAUUUUUAUAUAACAAUCUCAACACUUUAUUUAUUUUGAUUGUCUUUGAGUAAAUAAUUUAAAACAUGGUACUAUUUAAUCUGAUAGUUGUAAAUUGAUGUGAGUUAAAUUGCAAGUAGUUGUUAAUGCGAGAGAUUGAAAGACUGAUUAAAAAUCAUGUGGUUAGCAGCGUGCACUCUACAUUGCCAGAGAAAACCAUAUUAAAUACAUAUUAUUCUUUAUUCACUCCAGGAUUCAUUGAAUUAUUGCAUUUUAAGUUAUAGGUUUUCUAUGGAUACGUAAGUUAUUUAUUCGUUGGUUUUAUAUUCUGCUAAUUAGACACAGUAAAUUUAAGUAUUAUUGAUGUUAGUAUAGGUAUUAUAUAGUUUAAUAUUAAUGUACAUAUUAAUUAUAUAGCAGUUCGACUAGACCAAAGGGUUUCACCCUUUUGUUUGUUAACCCAGCGCUCUUAGCCACUUCGUCGCCAUUGUUUGCUUUCCAAAAUGCUUUACCUUCAUUUCUGUUUGUAUUGCUACUUGAGAAUCGGUAAUGCACGCGAAACUCGAUAAAUUGAUGUAGUAGUCAUACUCGCAGCAGCGCGCGCCACUACCUCGAACCCGCAAAAACUGCCAUCUCGUGACUGUUAGGCCAACUACUUGAAAAGCACCCAAAAAUAACGAGUGCUGUAUGGGGUGUUUCACGAAAAUAAAAAUCUGGGUGUGAAGGUGACACUUCACUUAUAUUGGCAUAUCAGCUUCAUUUCUACAUACUUUCUUUCUACCUUAAAAAAAUUGUAAUAACCCAAAUCUCGUGAUUAUGUGAUAUUAAAUGGUUUAGGGGCUUUUGGGCAGUGAUGUACAGGAUGUUGCACGAAAAUUAAAAUUUGGGUGUGAAGGUGACACUUCACUUAUCAUAUUGGCAUAUCAGCUUCAUUCGUAUACUUUCUUUCUACCUUAAAAAAAAUUGUAAUAAUAACCCAAAUUUUGUGUUUAUGUAAUAUUAUAUGGUUGAGGGUCAUUUGGCCAAUGCUGUACGGUGUGCUUUCACCAUAACCCAUUUUUUUGUGAUUCGAUAUGAUGUUAAAUUUUUAUGAAAAUUAAAUUCCUGAAAUUCUUAAAAACAUAUUUGGACAACCUGUGUUUAAGUUACGCCCACUGCUGCAGCAGCCUGUACUUAAGCUCCGCUGUGCUCUUCAGAGGGCUUUGAAGUUGGAGUGGGAGAAAGCUCCGCCCACUGCUGCGGCAUCCUGUAUUUUAUCUCCGCCCACUGAUGUAGUUGGAGUGGGGGAAUGGAGGGGAAGCAGAAUAAAUCUGGGUUAGAGCCAACUUCACCUUUAUGUCUGUGAUAUGAGUAGGAAAAUUGUUUUGUCUUUAUUUUAUGCCUCCAGGAGCCGUGAGAGCGUGGGACGAUAUAUUGUGCUACUGCAGAUGGUUGAGAAUGUCUUCAAUGGAACACAAGGUUUCCUCUCCCUACAUUGGAGGACUGUUUGUAUCUCAACGUCUACACUCCUCCGCUCGUCAGGGAAGCCUGCAAGUAUAAAAGGGCAUGCGCCCAGACUAUCGAUAAGCAGAACAACUGGGACGUCCAGCCAGCAGGCUGCCUCGCUGCUCCGACACCGCUCGCCGGCCUACACCGUCAAUCGCCGCGGAGUUGCUGACGCCCGAGGACCGACAAGACAUCGACUGGGUGAGACCUCUCCGAGUUGUAACCCAGGAUAUAGACAGUUCAUGGGGAAGCGUCGCUGGAUUAAGCAUAAAAUCUUUCAGAACGAACAUUAACUAAAAACGACGGUUCAGCCACAAGGGCAAAGAGGGCGGGCAUUAGCAAACUCCGUGAGGGCCGAGUGAGCGGAAGUAUUGACACAAUCACGACACUAUCAGGACACUAUCGCGACCAGAUCGCUACACAGUUUGGACACUAACUUUACCGCCGGUAACAAAGAAUCGUAGCCACAAGAGACAGUGAACAAGAAAACGGACUUACGCAUUACUACGAGAAUGCGGAGAGAGCUUCACAUGGUACCGGGGGAAGAGUAACUAAAACCAACCUAUAAACUUUGACAGCGUUACAUGACUAGUUGCGUGUAUAUAAUUGUAACCUCUGGCAGUAACUAUCUGUAUUUGUGUUACGUGUAACAUUCAGUAAUAUUAAGAUUAGGUAUGGUCCUUGUAACUUUGUAAAUGGUAUAGCCUUAGUAGUUGAAAUUGACGGCGUUUUGAUCGUUAGCUGUGACGAGUGCACGGCUCGCCACAAUUAAGGGUUUUGUUUUGUUUGUUCAGGAAUCGAGCACGUAGCGUUAAUUUGUGCGUUUUGUGUUCUAGUGGGAACUUACCACAACAGUUCGUCUCCACGAGAACCCGACUUGUUUAAAUGUUAUGUCAGUUUGUGAAUCUAUGCUAUUCCUUUUGGUGUUAUUGCAUUUGUCAAUAAAUUGUUAUUGGAUCGAAUUUAACUUAGCAACUAAUUUCAUAACCACCCGCAAACGUCCCUUUUUCCUCCUUCUUGGGGUUUUCCUGUGUCCUUAGUAAAACCUGCGACAAAGUCUGUGUUAAUUGGUGCAAAUAACAUUAUAUAAUUAUGCAAGUCAUUCUCAGUAUAGUUUAAAGAUUAAACUUUCUUUUAAAGUGAUGUAAAUAUUAUUUAAUUUUUUUAAAAACAACUCUAGAAAACAAUAUACUUUAUAACGUUUUUUCACUACACUGGUCAGUGUUUGACAAACCUAAGUAAACUAAAUUGAAAAGACUACGGUAAUAACAUUUCAUAUGCAAGUUGUUCUCAGUAUUGUUUAAAGUUUCAACUUUCUUUUAAAGUAAUGUUUUAAAUAUUAUUCAAUUUAUUAAAAUAAAACAUUAGAAAACAAUAUGCUUUAUAACGUUUUUUCACCACACUGGUCGGUGUGUGACGAAGCUUAAUAAACUAAAUUGAAAAUACUUCAGUAUAGCGUCAGAUCCUGCAUUAACAUCAUUGCACUCGCUGAACGUCCUAGCACGCCGCCGGCCCCGGAACGAGCGUGAGCGGUGCGGCAUUUGCAGCCAGUUGCAGGAAGUAGCGGUGCUGCCGCUAGACUCUUGUUCGUGACAGCCUAAUGAAUUAAAAUGGUCGAUUAGGUCAGGUCAGUUACAUUAUAAAUACUUUCAAACUAAGCGGAAAUUUAAAUAAUGUGAAUUAAUUUUAAUGGUUGUUUAGGUUUAAAGUAUUUAUAAUGUAACUGACCUGACCAAACAAACCUUGAUAAAGGAUGAACAGUAGGAACUCACGUAUUUUUUUUUACUUAUUACUUGCGCAACAAUAUCCAAAUAACCAAUAAAACAUUAAAAUUUGAAACGUUAAAAACUCACCUAAGUUAGAGGCGGGUACAAUUCCUUUGCCAUUAGUAGAAAAAGAUGUAGUCGUUCACCUACGUCGCGGAAAAAAAAAAAUCUUACUCGUAAACAAGAAACAAUGUUGAAUGCCGCAUGAACGCACAGGUAUUGUGAUGAAAAUUAAAAAAUUUGAUAUCUCCUAAAGUAUUUGGAAUUUCUUAUCUCCGCCGGGUUUAAUGAAAAGAGGAAGUUAAAGAGCAUAGAAUAAAAGUAAUUUUGGAAUUUUUAAAUUUUUUUUUAACAAAUAUCGCCCAACUAUGAAAAUUAAAUUCAAUAUCUCCUAAAGUAUUUGGAAUUUCUUAUCUCUGCCGGGUUUAAUGAAAAGAGGAAGUUAAAGAGCAUAUAAUAAAAGUAUUUUCAGAUUUUUAACAUUUUUUUUUUCGCAUUUACCGCUAAGCUACAUAUUUACCCAACUUAUUAACUAAGCAAUUUGUGGCACUCACCGUUACAUUCAUUCUUCUCUCAGUACUAACGUCCCCAAAUAAAAGUUGACUGAAAAAAUUUAUAAAUAAGUUUUGGGUAAAAAGUAUAGAAAAUUGGUUUUGGAUGAACUAAUAUAAGUGCUUUAUUCUGUUGCAUGUAAUAGUUGUUGGAAAUAACAUGAUUUAUCAGUUCAAAAAUUGUGAGUGUUGUUUAGAGUUUAUUUCUUUUUCAUCAUUAUUUCCUUAUUUUGUUUCUCUUACUCUAUUUCACAUUUAUACUAUUUUUCUCAUGUCUUCCACUCUCACUCUCUUACACUCUCACUCUUACAUCAUGCUCUCUUACACUCACUCAUUCUCACACACUCACUAUAAAUUGUUGGUCUCAGCUGCCUGCAGCCAUCUCCAAUGCCAUUCUUCCAGAGUUGGUACAUUUUCACCCCGGAGGAUUCUACAGCCUGUCUGGAAACAGUGGCUUCUACAGCCUUCAGUACCAGCUUGACGAGGACGUAGUGCUCAUGUUUCCUGAUUGGCAGACAGGAGCCUUGGGUAACAUAUUUUUUAACAAGCUCAUUGCAGCUUAUUCAAGUAGGUAUUUAAAAAAAAAAUUUCCUAUUGUUCUAUUGCUGAAAUGUAUAUUCCAGCCAUCUUUUAUUUAGUUUUGUCAUCACUUGUUAUUGAACUAAUUUUCAUGAUCUUGACUUAUGCAGUUAUUUCUUGAGAUUUCAUAUUUGAAUAGCUGUAUCACUUUUAGUACUUUUAGCUUCUUGAAAUGAUCUUUUGGUUAUUUCUUUUAGUCAGCUGUUACUAGUUUUUGUACAAAUCGUUAAUUGAAAAGUUUCUGGCUAUAUGUUUGUUGGUAACGUGUGGUCAACGAUCCAAUGGAUGGUAGUACGAGCGUGGAUGCUAGUUUAAUUUUUUCGCCUUUGGUGAAUUUUGAGGGUCUUCUGAGCUGGCUGCCAAACUCGAUAAUAAAGACUAUGGGAAGAUGGUUUCCUUCUAGUCAUUUACGAUCACGAAUUAGGGCUUAUCUGUCAGCACUACAUCUAAUCUGGUGCAAUGUGAGACUUUACUGGGCAAACACCUUUUUUUUAUCACCACCACCUGCAAUUUGAAUAAGGCCAUUUAUUUCGUGAGUUGUACAUAUCUACUUUGAUUUUUCUUUAAACUCUGAGUGAUCCACAGAAAGUCUUUAUUGCUGCAGUAAUGUCACGUUUAUUUGAAAUGUCGCAUGAUGAAGUUUGACUUCAAUAUUUUCAAGAAGUUUCUGAACUGACUGGAGUAACCCCGUUUAACAACUGACUUAUUUCUGUUGUGUCGUCACUUCAUUUUAACAUUGCUUGUGGAGGCAUGACUUGUAAUUUGCAACUUCCAAACCACCUUUGGAAGAUUGUGUGAAGUCAAUUUUAUUUUAUGAAUUAACAUUUGAAAAAACAUUUGUUAUAUCCUUUACAAGGAAAUAUCAACCACUUAAUUUUGAUUAUAUUUUAGAAAACUAUGUAAUCACGAAAUGUUCAACAAUUAAGGAUCUUGGUGUUAUUUUAGAUUCUAAAUUGUUUUUCCAUAAUCAUGUAAACUAUUUAUACAUGUCUUCCCGCAAAACCCUUGCUAUGAUCAAAUUUAUUACUUUUUAUGCUACCAAUUCAGACUCAAUUCUCUCCCUGUAUUUUGCCUUAAUAAGGUCCAAAUUAGAAUAUUGUUCAGUAAUCUGGAAUGACAUCAAGUCGGCCGAUGCAAAUAAACUAGAAAGUAUACAAACAAAAUUAAUUAAUUUAAUAAACUUAAAAAACCUUCCUUCACCUGCUUUAACUCCUCUUGGUGCACGUAGAGUAUAUUUAGAUUCUCUGUUUGUUGAAAAUUGUUUUAACGCUAAAAUUAACUGUACUUAUCUCCUGGAAACCACUGGGUUAAAAAUACCACAGUUCAAUUCUCGUUUAUACCAAACAUAUUGUACUCUACAUAACUUUAAUGACAUAAUAUACCGAUUAGUUAGGAAUCACAAUAAUAAUCAAUUGUCUAAACUUAAAAAUUUAUCCUCUUAACUUGUCCUCUACUCACAUGUUAUAUUUUGUAUUAUCCAUUUUUUUAUAUAUUUUGUGUAUAGUUUAAUAAUUAUGUAAUUAACAUUUCGCUAAGCAUUGUGUCAUGUUAUCUUGUCCUUUUGGUAUUUAUAUCAUUUCUGUUUUCAUGUUUUGUGUUUAUCCUGUGCUGUCUCUAUUGUGAUAGUGUUUGUUUUUACUUGUUUUGUGUUGUACUUGUUUUGUGUCGUGCCCACCUCUAAAGUCUCAAGACUGUCUGUGGGCAUGUAACAAAUUUAAAUAAAAUAAAAAUAAAUAAAUGUUUUGUGAUAGGUCUUAGCAAAGGUUCUGGGCUUGUACUACAACAUGCACUUGACUGUAAUAAAUGUCCAACCUAAGUACAUCAAGUAACUUUGUGGUGGAAAGAAACGUUACUUUAAUUUUAAGACAUAUUUGAGGUAUGGUUUACAGCAUAGUUCAAUUUUUGCUCAGCGCAAGUUUAAUAAUAUUUAAUUUCUUACUCUUGGAUAAAACUUAACUGCGUUUUAUGAAUUUUUGGUUUUAACAAUAGAGCUUUCAUUGUAUCAUUGACAUUUGUAGCUGGUUGAUAACCUGUUCUUUUUUAUUUUAGACGAUGACAGACAAUAGAAUGUUUUCAAGCAAGAGUUAUGAUAUUUAACAUCUACCAUGAUUAAAUUGGAAACGUGUUUGUUGAAUGCGAUCAAUUAUUGUUUCACCCGAUUCGUCAUUGCGUUUUCGAGCUAUUGCUAAAAUGCUGUCUUUCAUUGAAGUUUCUGAACACAAUUAAUUAUCUCUAGGUCUUUUUUUGUUCCAUUAUAAAUUCAUCGGUUAUUUCUUCACUACAUAAAAAAAUGUUGUUUGGCCGGACUGUCCUUCCGUAAAAAUAUAGAAUAGUUGCUUGACAAAUGCUAGUGUCUUUUAGUACAUCUCUUUGCAUAAAGAAACAUUAAGAAACCAUUUAAUAAAAUAAUUGCAAUUAACUAUGUAGUUUAGGGGCAACUGAAUGUGUCUUUGUGCAUUUUUUUAUAGUAGUUCUACACAACUAACUUACAUAUAAAGAAUCAUUCCUUUUAGAUUUCUUAUAAAAGCUUAGUUUUUUUAUUUUGUCAUUUUUUCUUCAAGUUAAACGUUGUUGAAGGUUUCCUCUCCAUCGAGGGGUGCAGUUCUCCCGGGGAACUACUGGGUUCAAGGACCAGGUGGCAGCGUUGUGAUGGGCGAAGAUGAAGAGAAUCAUUGCAUCUUUCGGAGGCGACCCAGAGAUGUGCACCAUCGUGGGCUACGGUGCUGGUUCCCACAGCGUCUUAUUGUGUGUGGUGUCUCCCUUGUCUGCCGGUAAUGAGCAGUCGUCUUGUUUGUUGGAAUCCUGUAGGGCAGUAUCACUAGUGUGCUUGUUGCGCUUGUGAAACGAGGGUGUGUACUCUCUCUCUCCCACACAACCCACCUCCUUUUGUCAUGAUUCAAAUUUAUGUGCAUCAGUUGUACCAAAUUUGUGAAGAGCCCAUUCCUUUGCAUCUAGCCUCUUUGUGUAAUCAUGCACCAUAACAAUUUAUCUUUUCCUUUACCUUGUUCUUGUUAGGACUGCAUACAUGGGUGCAUGUUAAUAGAUAGUUUCUUGGAUUUUUUUUUUUUGUUUUAGCUUUGAAGGUACAGGAUUCUUGUUUGUGCUCACACCUUGCACAGGGAGCUAUUAGGUGCAAUGUAGUUAAAGUAUUAUAUCUUUAGCGUUUGGUCGCAGUGGUAAUGUAUUACUAUCAUGUAGUGGUGCACCGAUAUGACUUUACCGAUUACCGAUUCGAUUACCGAUUAUGAGAGCAAUAAUCGGCAGAUACCGAUUCAGUUACCGAUUAUAAUGAAGAAAUUUUUUUAAGUGUAAUAAUGCACACAAAAUUUUUUAUUCCCAUGUGAAUUUAAUAACAAGAUUAGGUAAAAUCGAGAAUACAGUUAUAAUAACAGUAUAAAAAUAUAUAAAAUACACUAUUAAGUCAUUGCAAAGUGUAAAUUAAAUUAUGUAACUUCUAUUUAUAUUUGUUAUUGUAAACAACUUGAACUACAGUCUAAUAAUUGUAAUUUACAAUGGGUAAGUUUUUGUUGCGGAAAACUAGCAUUAUUAUUGACUAUCACAUAAGGUUGCAUCAAGAAAUUACCGUUUGACAAUGUAAACAUGUCGCUUUAUUUUGUUCACUUGAGUUUAUAGAAAAAUGUUUCCACACUUCACUUUUUUUCUCCCUACUCGCCAUCUCACUAUAAUUAUAUAAAAAUGACUAAAAACCGAUACUAGCACAUGUGAUUUUAUUUAUGUUGACUGAAUAUAUAAAAUUAUAAAUACUUUUUCACUCUUCACGUCAUACAAAUAACAAACGGAUAAUGUUACCAAAGACGCCCAUAACGAGUUUGUAAAACGCAGUGAUAAAAACUAGAAGGUAUCGGGACCACGAUUUUGAACCGCUACUAUGACUCGAAAAGAUCGAUUGUCAUAGAAUCCACUGCAACUGUUUGUGGUAUUUUGAUUGCGUGCCAUAUAUUUUACGUCUCUGGCUAUAGGUAAUGUACAAGGCCACUAAAAAAAAGGCGAAACGUAAAUAAACGUGUAGGAAAAACGUCUUUUUUAUUGUUCGACGCAAUGAGAUUUAUUUAGAGGUUUAAAAGUAACGAAAAAAUGUGUACCCGUAUGUAUUCGUUACUAUAACAAUUAGUACUCGUUACUUUCGUAUCGUUACUCGUUACUUCUUAUACCGCAUGACAUGGCACAUGCUAUGUUAUGUAACAGCAACGAAUCGAGUCGUAUUUCGUACGCGUACAGUAUGACGUCGCGUAAAUAAAAAUAAAUCGAAUAUAAACAAUUAAAAAUAUUUGAUAAUUAACAGCUUUUGUUAACCAAGAAACAAUUAAAUCUCAUUAGAGCGGCUUUAUUAUAAUAUAUCUUUUAAGAUAAGAACAUAAAACGUGAAAAUACGCGAUAAUAAAAAACAAAAACAUACAUAUUUAUAAUUUGUAAAAAUACUUUCUUACGUUGUUUCUGUUCGAAUCUAAAACUUUGUCUACACACACAAUACCUUUAAUAAACAGUAAAAAACUUGGACGACGAAUUUCCAAAUUAUACUUUUAUUAAUAAACAAACAUCGUUCUUUGUAAUGAAUAAGCGCGCGCAUGCGUAAAACAUACGAAAGAUGCGAGUAACGAAAUGCAUUCGUGUGUAACGUUUCGUUACUCGUUACUAGAUGCCACACCCGUUACUCAGUAACGAAUACAUACGGUUUGCUACAGCUCUAGAUUUAUUAAACUUAACGAAAUAUCUGUAAUUAUGAUAUGACGGAGUUAGAUGAAUUUUGUAAUAUAUACAAAUAUUACCGUAUUUCAUCCUAAAAUGUGUAACAAAAUAUUACACGGUAAAAACCUACUUAAUUACGCCGGGACGUAAAUAAUCGGCAAAGUAAUCGUUAAGAUAAUCGCCGAUUACGAUUAAUCGGUAAGUACCCAUAAUCGCCGAUUACGAUUCAUCGGUAUCCGCAUCGGUGCACCACUACUAUCAUGUGAAUUCAUAAAGGAACUUUCUUACAUUACACAACAUGAAUUCAACAGAAAUGAGAGACAGAAUAACAAAAUGAAUAAAACCCACGUGACGACACAUGAUGACAAAGACUCAGUGGAGAUUAAACAUUGUAAAAAUGGCAGAAAUGAACAUGAUCACUGAUCAGGAAUGGGCCACUCAAAGAUGUUAAGAUGUGAAAUUUCAGGAAGAAGGUUCUAAUGAAAAUACUGGAGGAAUAAAUUGUUAAUAAAAAAUUCACCAAUGACAAUUCUAUAUCUAUUUUUUCUAUACUUUUAUUGUUCCCCAGAUAUAGUAUUUUAAUAUGUAAUUAUUAUUUUAUUAUUUUGUUCUAAUCUUUGUUAAUUUUCCCCUCUCCUCUCAUGAUUUAUGUCCUUUACUAUGUAUAUUAUAUUCUGAUGGUAUAUUAUUUGUGAUAUUUGGAACUGUAAUUGUUUGUUAUUAUCUUUAAUUGUAUUGUAGUUUGUGUCUUUCUUUGUGUGUGCUGUAGUCCCUGCAGGCAUGUAGUGCCUGCUAGUGUCAGUUGACUAUCUUUUUUUAGUGCCUACCUGUUAGUUUUCUCAACGGCUAGGUUCAGUAACCUUAAGUAACAAGAUUAUAUGAUGAAUUGAGAUAAAACUGAAAUAAAAACGAAAAGCAUCAUAUAAGACCAAAAGUUAAUACACCAUGAAGCACCAAAAAGUAACUAAAAUAAUGAAAUUAAUCAGUAUUUUUUGAUGUGACAAUGUCUAAUAAAUUGAUGAAUGCCGGCUGCACGCACAAAAAGUGUCCCAUAACGCACAUUGUCCCACUACGGAUGUCCCACUACGGAUGUGUCCUGUUAUGCUCAUUGUACGCAUGCGUGGCAUCUCUCUUCCACUCGAUUGGAACAACCAUCAAUUUGACUUUUCAAUCAUAUUUUCGUCAUUUGAAUUAUAUAUAUUAUGUAAUUUAACGAUUGUCCACCGAUUUUCAGCACAAUCGGUACGGUUAUUUAAAAGUAAUGUUGAAUUUUCAAAUACGUUUUUAUUAACUGCAAGGACAUUUUUAUUAAAUCCUACGUUUAAUUUCACGACGAACAAACCUUGUCGUUAAAUGUGUAAUUGCGAAAAAGCGUAAAACAUUCUCAACAAUCUUGAAGUUAGUAUAAACAUGGCGGCCGACUAGCAGCCGACAAUAUAUUUUUAAUUUCCCGCCUACCACUAUAAGAAAUAAACAUGGCGAACUACAUACGUUUUUAAAACUUCCACAAUUUUUAUAAAUAUAUAUAUUUAUAUAUAUAUAUAUAUAUAUAUAUAUAUAUAAAUAACAUCUGAAACAAUUGUUUCCAAUAUGGCCUCGUGGCCGUGCGGUUAGCAUCGCUGAUUACCAAUUCAAAGGUUGAUGGAUCGAAUCCCGGCCGCUGCGAUACCUUCAUUUUUGUACUUGUAAAAAUUAAUACAGCGCGAGCGACACUACGAAAGUAAUAAAUAUAUUUGAACUAAUGAAUGCAAAUUAAAGUUAAUUUAUCAAUUAAAUUGUAUAUUUCAUUUCACUCCUUUGUAUCCAUACAAAAUAGUGAUAAUUCAAUAAAAAUGAUUCAAUUUUAUUGAUAAAAGUAUGCAGAGGUAGAUAUUAUCAUACAAAAUAUAGAAAAAUUUAAAAAAAAAUUUCUUCUUCAAAGAAUAUAAUAUUUUUGAUGCCUAAAUGGUUUGGUUGCAAAAACCUAUUACGGCUCAGUUUCAGGCCGAAUAUGAUAUUUCAUUUUCUUCUGGAUCAAUCAUUUCAUCAAUGUUUUGUUAUGACGUUGUCACGUUAAACUAUCGUCCGUAAACCGACUUUACAGACAACCAAUUUUUUUAAUUAAAAGUUAAUUCUUAUCACAAGCUUUUAAUAUAGCAAAUUCCAAUAAUGUAAUUCAUUUAGCAUGGAGUUUGUACCAAAAUGUAUGUAGUAAAUAGAUAGAUUGGAAAUUUUUAUCUGAGUCAUUAGACAUUCUUAUUACAAACUAAUUAUAUUGUGAAAGUGUAUCAUUUAUUAGACAAAAUAAAACUCUGUGAAAUAAGUUUCACGAAACAUUAAUUAUAAUAUUGUUGAAUAAAAUGCUAUCUUUAUGAGUAAAUAGAAUUCAUAAAAUAAAACACAGAUAUCUCCCAUUUUAUAAAUGAAAUUGGCUAAAAAUAGAACCCAAAAAUUGUGUGUUUGGUAAUCUUGUGAUGUUGGCCCAUGCCCCAGGCUUGUUCCAUAGAGCCGGCGCUGUGAGCGGUCCAGCGCUGCGGAGGAGCGUGGUAAUCUGUGACCAGCUCUCCCUAGUGGGGAGGCAAGCCGUGUGCUGAGCUGCUUCGCCGACACGUCAUCUGCAGCUGUAUGAUGUGGCAAGAUGCCCAGGAGAUUGCUACCAGCUCUCUCAUCUGCCUCAGGAAACCUGAGCCAUGGUAACCACUCGUUGCCACUGUCCUCGCCAGAGAAUCCCCGGUAAAUGGAGACAACCUUGAAGAUGGGGGUUCGACUGUGAGAGAGUGACACUGUGGGAGCAACUGAUCCUGCUCUUCGCAGUACGCGGCCCACGCGAGAAGCAAUGCUGUUGUUACUAGUGUUUACUUAUAUUUAAACAGCAACUUGAGGGAUCGAAACUACUUUGUAUUUCAGAUCAAUCAUAUUUUGUAUUAAAACAAAGGAAAGCAUACUUCAUUUUAUAUGAUUGUGAAAGUACUUCACAUAAUCAGGAAUUUCAUAUUAAGAGUAUUUGUAUUAAUGAGGGUUGACUGUAUUUAUUAUUGUUCACCUACCAUUCAUGGUCUUAAUAAUUUUUUGUAAUGUUUGUAUUGGAAUUUUCAUUUAAUUUAUUUUAAAUUUCUAUUCAAUUUUGUAGUGGAUUUUUUUUUGUGUCAGAAAUGUAAGUUUAGGUAAUUUUGAACUGAUAAAAGAAUAAAUUCACACUUAAAGAAUACAGUAGAACCUCGUUACUAUUAGAACUGACAAUGGCGAGAAAAUGAAGUCAAAGUUAAGAUUCCUGAACCUUCUAAAAAGGUCUUAAUUGCACAUCGUAACUCGAAAACUGUGCUUUUUAGUGAAAAAGGCAUUCAAUAAUACUUGUAGCAAAUUAAAUUACAAAUGAUGAUAUUUUGUAUCUGCAAUGGUUUUCAUUUUAAUCGAGAAUGAAUUGGUCUGAUGCAUGAGGGAACAAUGGAACACAGCUAAGAUAGCAGCUGGGGCCACAGUCGCGACGUGAAGGAGGGAAGUUAAGUUAAGCGGAGAUAGGAAAAUAAAAGAAGUGCAAGAAGAAGUCUGCGUAAUGGGAGGGGCAAAGGCUUCCCAUCCUGUGUAGGCUGGUUUAUUUUUAGAUUUCCCCCUAUAGUCAAAAGCCAGGGCAGCAGCUAGCUACUAGGGGAGAACCUUGGCUGACAUAACAACACAUAGACGCUCUCUACGGUGCUGUAUGCGCAGCUGUGAACGUAAUCAGUUUAUACUUUUAUACUCGCACAUAACACCACAUAGAAUUAUAUUUAACAAGCUGCAGUACCCAGCAUUGCCCGGGCUGAACAUAGGGUGAAGGGGAACUGUUUAGAGAUCAGAUGUAGUUAGUAAUUGUCUUCUUAAUUUGAAUGUCAACUGUACAAAAUAAUUUAUAUCACUUUCAGAUCCCGACAGACGUUGUUCUGCCAGUUUAUAGUUAUUUACCUGGUCUGUAUGUAAUCUAGACUCUAUAAAGCAAAAUAUAAAAAAAAAAAACUAAAAAAUAAGGGAUUGCUAAUAUUGAAAAGAUUCCAAUAUCUAGCUAAUGCUCGGCAUGCAUUGCAAUGCCUCAUUCAGUUUUGUUUUGUAAUAUGUUUGAAGUAGUUACACAUAUACAAAUAAUCUAUCCAUGUCUCUAAAUAUAUAUUUAUCUCUAUCUACAUCUAUAGUCCUAUAUAUCUAUGUAUCUCUCUAUCUGUAUUUAUCUCUUUAUAUCUACAUAUAUACCUCACACUAUCUCUAUGUAUUCUAUAUGAGGGUACUGAUUGCUUUGUUGUUAAUAUCACACGGGUGUUUUAUACUUUUAUGGGAAAAUUAAGAAUGAUAAGGCAUCUAGUGCGUGGCAACAAUGUUAAUAGGCAAUAGAAAAUAAACUUCUAGCGCCUGCGGCAUUGUCAACACACACUUCGUAUGUGUACUGCAUGUUGUAUCUAACCCCCUCCAACGCAUUUGAUUCUAAAUUGGACUUUUAGUAAGGAUCCCUAAUGUUAUUGAUAAUAUAAUAUAGCCUAUAGCCUUCCUCGAUAAAUGUACUAUCCAACACUUAAAGAAUUUUUCAAAUCCGACCAGUGGUUCCUGAGAUUAGCGUGUUCAAAUAAACAAACAAACAAACAAACUCUUCAGCUUUAUAAUAUUAGUAGUAUUAGUAUAGAUUGAUCCCAAAGUGGAAAACUCAUUAGUGUUUGUUGCACUACUUUUUGUAAACUUAAUAUUGGCUCAAUAUGUGCUUUCAUUAGCAAACAAAUACAGUAUUUUUGUUUGUAUUAUAUGAUAUGCAUUCAAAACUCAUGUCUUUUAAUCUAAACAAAAUUGUCACUAGAAUUUACUAUGCAGUAUUAAAAUUUUACAUUUAUCAUGGUGAAUUAAUACAAACUAAGAGAAUUACACACCCUUAAUAAAAAAAAAUUUGUCUGGAGUCAUUUGUUUUAGUUUGUUCACACUAUUUUUAGUGACAAAAGUUUCAACUUGUUGCAAUGUGGCUAGGUCUUCAGUUGUUGCAAUUGUAGACAUGUUGCACUUAUAGACCAAUAAAAAUUGCUAAUGUUAUCCAAGGCUUCCAUGAGCGCUGCUCGAGUAGGGAUGUCACAGUCCAUUCCUCAAUCCCCUUCAUCGUCUUCUGAACUAAUUGAGUCCUUGUUCGUAACUAGAUCUAUUAGUUCACUAAUCAGUCAUUUCACUGCUGUGACAAGUCUGAGUACUGACACAACUUGCAUUUUCUCUGUCAAAAAUCGCAAAUAUUCUGGCUCUUGCAUUUCACCUUGACCUCCCUCCUUCUGUUGGUUUACUUCGUCUGUCUCAAGCUCAUCAACAUACAAUUCAUUGGGGCCGUGGGGAUUUUGACAAAAGCCAGCAUGUCUGAAACAUCCGGUGGUGGCUUCUGGCGUCACCUUACCCCAAGAAACGACUAGAGCACGGAUUGCAUCUAGGACGUUCCACUUGACAAGUUCUUUUUCCCGUUGAUAGUUUUUGUAUUAAGGAAUGCACCAACAUCGUACGGAAGUGAUGUUUCACUCGGCGAAACACGCCCUGAUAUAGAGGUUGUAACACUAAUAGUGUUUGGAGGUAAGAAUACAAUUUUAGUAUUCGUAAGGGUCAAUUUAGGAUGUGCUGGGCAAUGGUCGUAAAAUAACAUUAUUUUUCAGUUUUUCACACCCAUUCUGCUACCAAAUGAGUGUAGCCACUGUUUAAAAAGUUCCGACAUCAUUCACGCCUUCUUGUUGGCUUCAUAUGUACACAGAAUGUUCUUUACACCAUGGAACGCCCAGGGAUUUGCCAAUUUACGAAUAACUAAUGGCUUCAUUUUAUCGCUGCCAUCCAUGUUUGCACAAAGGAGAAUUGUCAAGCGUUUUUUCUGCAUUUUCUCCCUUUACAUUGCACACCCUUAACUGUCAGUGUUUUGUCAGGUAACAAAUUAUAAAACAUACCUGACUCAUCAGCAUUGUACACAUCCUGAGGUUCGUAGUGUUUCAAAAGUUCACUCAACACAGGAUACCAAUCGUUAACUUGGCUGUUGUUAACAGAACCUGAUUCACCUGGUAUUUGAUGCUGAACAAUCCCACGCCUUACUUUAAAACGAUGCAGCCAACCUUUGCUGCACGUAAAAUCAUCAAUCUUUAUUUGGAGAGCCAAGUCUGAUGCUUUUUGUUUAAUCAUAGGCCCACUAAUUGGCAGUCCAGCAGUGCGUUGCUGUGUAAACCAUUCAAAAAGAACCUAUUGAAGUGCCACAUGGUCGGACUCACGUAAACUUUUCCUAUUUCCGGGGACGCGACCUUUCAACAUUGCAUCUUUUAUUUUGUCCUUGUUCUGUAAGAUAGUAAAAAGUGCUGACGAGCUGUCAUAUCAUAUUCUAAUUUCACUCUUGCUGACGUAUCCUAGUUCACACUCUUGACAUUAUCACAAAUUUUGUGGAUAAGUCUAAUGCUUUACUUUUUCUGGAAGCCAUUUUUUGAUGCAAAACUCAACAGAAAGUAAUAUGUACACUAUUCGGGAGAAGCACAAACACUUAACUCCAAAACCUCCCUGAGUCCGAAUAUUUAUGGCCAGUCUCGCCUUAAACGUGGCAGGUCUGACACUUUUUUUUUUUUUUUUUUUUUUUUUUGUGAAGCUUCAGAUGCUGCUGAAAAUUUUCUUCGCCCCCUGCCAAAUGUGCCUUUUUAAUCUCCUUUGUUCAAUGUCAACCUUCAACCUUCAACCUUGGGUAGAGAGAGAAAGAGACAGCGAGAGAGAGAGGACAAUGCUGGGGAAUAACGGAAUAAGGAAAAGAAAAGCGGGGAAGUAGCCAUCGCCUCAAGCGAGAGAGCCAUUAGUGAGAGAGAGAUCAUGUUAGUCACCACAACCCCACUCACUGCCCUCCUCUUCCCCCUUCCCUGCUGCUAGGGAAAGUAGUGGAACGAGAAACAAGGCACAUUGCUUGUCACCAGUCACGCCACUUCCUUCCUCAUCACUCUAUUAGCUGUCUUUGUGUUAACUGCGUGAACAUUUUUCAAAAUGUCAUUCAAAUCACUCAUACUUACGGAAGGGCGAACAAGGACACACUCGUAUUACCAGACAAAUUAAGUAUGAUUUACGUGUAGUCAAACUGAUGGUGCAUUACAAAACUCUCAUAUCUUCAAAGGUCUUGUAGUAUCCCGUACUUGUAAUGAGGUUCCACUAUAGUUAUAUUUUUUUAGGUAUUUAAAUUAUAAUUUUUAACUUCUAGAAUUGUAUAGUGCCACAGUUAUCUAUAUUAAUUAUAUAUAGAGAAAGAUAGAUAGAGAGAGAGAGAGAGAGAUGGUUUGUCUGUCUGUAAGAGAUAGACACAAAAACUACUGUAUAAUUAGAGACAAGAUCUUAUGGUUUUAUUUUUAGUCCAAUUUCAUUUUUUUUAAAUUUUCUAUGUUAUUGUUUUUAUUUUUAUAAAUAGUGUAUUUGUAUGCUGCAUUUGUAAUUAAUUGGCCUAAAACAUACAUUCAGAACCGUAAAAAUAAUUUGGCGAGCAUUUGUGGUUUGAAGAGUGAUUCCAUAAAAGAUGCACAAUAAAACAAAUUAAAUUAUUUUUUUUAUCUAUGUUUUUGGUAUAUUUUUUGUUGCGAAAUAAUGAUUUUUCGAUUAAUCUAUAACAUUAAAAGAUACUUCUAAUUUAGUGCUAUUAUUUUGGUGUUAUUUUAUCGCUAUUCACUAUAUAAUCUUGUUCCUAUGUACGUAUAAUGUUCAAAAUUUGUCACUUUUAUAAAGCUGCAUUAUUCCAGAUGGAUGUAGGUUAUGUUAUAUACCUAUACACAUAUAUGAUAUACUAUAAAAAUUUAUGAAUAAAAUGAGAGAAAAAUUACCAAAAUAACUAUGUUGUAGAUUACAACUGUUUUACGUUGAAAUAAAAUAAAUCUUGAAGACAA